rnacentral:rRNA from 1 species
UACGAAGGGGGCUAGCGUUGCUCGGAAUCACUGGGCGUAAAGCGCACGUAGGCGGCUUUUUAAGUCAGGGGUGAAAUCCUGGAGCUCAACUCCAGAACUGCCUUUGAUACUGAGAAGCUUGAGUCCGGGAGAGGUGAGUGGAACUCCGAGUGUAGAGGUGAAAUUCGUAGAUAUUCGGAAGAACACCAGUGGCGAAGGCGGCUCACUGGCCCGGUACUGACGCUGAUGUGCGAAAGCGUGGGGAGCAAACAGGG